rfam:Heligmosomoides polygyrus genome assembly, scaffold: HPBE_scaffold0000694
GCGCCGGUGGUGUAAGGCGAACAUCGCUGACCGGAAAGCAGAAGAUGCGGGUUCGAGUCCCGCCUGGCGCA